rnacentral:rRNA from 1 species
AGUGAACGCUGGCGGCAGGCCUAAUACAUGCAAGUCGAACGGCAGCACGGCAGAGCUUGCUCUGUGGGUGGCGAGUGGCGGACGGGUGAGGAAUACAUGGGAAUCUGCCCAGUCGUGGGGGAUAACGUAGGGAAACUUACGCUAAUACCGCAUGCGCCCUUCGGGGGAAAGCCGGGGACCUUCGGGCCUGGCGCGAUUGGAUGAGCCCAUGUCGGAUUAGCUAGUUGGCGGGGUAAUGGCCCACCAAGGCGACGAUCCGUAGCUGGUCUGAGAGGAUGAUCAGCCACACUGGAACUGAGACACGGUCCAGACUCCUACGGGAGGCAGCAGUAGGGAAUAUUGGACAAUGGGCGCAAGCCUGAUCCAGCCAUGCCGCGUGAGUGAAGAAGGCCCUCGGGUUGUAAAGCUCUUUUGUCCGGAAAGAAAAGCGCCGGGUUAAUACCCUGGUGUCCUGACGGUACCGGAAGAAUAAGCACCGGCUAACUUCGUGCCAGCAGCCGAC